GGGGCCGUAGCUCAAUUGGUUAGAGCGCCUCCCUGUCACGGAAGAGGUUGCGGGUUCGAGUCCCGUCGGCCCCG
rnacentral:tRNA from 1 species